rnacentral:lncRNA from 1 species
GUGAAACUACCAGUGUAAAGAGGAUGUUGUAGAAGAAUGGGUUUCAGUUUUAUCGGAAUAAUGACAUCUCUGGGAACAAGGCAAUGGUUUAUUGCAGUCUGUGAAGCCGGUUGAGAAGCCGGGCACAGAUGGGAUAAAAGCUCUGCCGGGAGAGCCAGAGAUUCUGCAGAGGCUGCCGGGGUGCAGAGCUGCUGCGGAGCUGUGAGGCCUGGGGUCAGGCAGCCCUGCGGCUGCAGGUCUUUGGGGCGGCUGGGAGCCGCGCUGUGCGGACAGGGCAGGGCAGGGGCCCACCCACAGGAGGCCCCACCGUGUCAGAAGUGGCUGCUGUGCGCCUGUGUGAUCAUAUACAGGCGUGGAGGCAGAAACAUCCCGCUAAGCCUUGGCUGCAGAGAGGAGAAGGUGCAUUUUGACUGGAACCCACCGUAAACUGGUUUGGGUUUCGUUUAGUUUCUGUAGGCAGGCUGGAGGGGUGAAGUCUAAGGAAGCGAUAUUCUGUCUUGCGCAUCUUGAACAUAGUGACUGAAGAAAGCAAAGUUCUUUGGCUGGCACACCUUUGAAAUCAACAGCUUUUUAAAAGUCAGGUUUUGGAGUUCUGUAUCUGUAAUGAUGAAGAGAUGAAAGCAGAGUUGGCUCUCUGGAAAAAUGAGUGCACAGUACUGUGUUGUCCUUCUUGUCUGGGAAAUAUCUUCACAAAACCGUGUGAACUUAACGCUGACAGGAAAUUUGUG